rnacentral:tRNA from 1 species
GGCAAGAUGGCUCUAUGGGUAAGAGUGCUUGCUUGAUAAACAAGAAGACCUGUGUUCAAAUCUCUAGCAUGUUU